UUCCCAGGAUCCACCUCUGAUGUUCAGUGAAGAGUACCAGAAAAGUCUGCUAGAGCAGUACCAUCUGGGUCUCAAUCAAAAACGCAGAAAAUACGUGGUUGGAGAGCUCAUCUGGAAUUUUGCCGAUUUCAUGACUAACCAGUCCAAGGAUGAAGGAAACACUGGACCUCAUUAUGGAUUUACUUUUGGGAUACACUCAUCAUUCCAGAGGAGGGUAAAAGGCUGAGAAGCUUAAGGUAUUUCAGUCUGUUUUAUGUUACUCAUUUGCGAAAAGCAGGCUCAUCGAAUACAGGUGAGUUUCAACGCUUCUUGAAUAUGGCAGCAUUUAAAAGUCUUCAGACCGCAUGGUGGCUCAUGCCUGUCAUCCCAGCACUUUGGGAGGCCAAGGUGGGAGGAUUGCUUGAGGCCAGGAGUUCGAGACCAGCCUGUUCAGCAUAGGAGGACCCCCAUCUCUACAAAAACUAAACAGAUUAGCUAGGUGUGGUGGUGUGUGCCUGCCUGGUCAUUUAUAAAGAACAGAAAUUGAUUUUUCACAGUUCUGCAGGCUGGAAAUCCAAGAUGAAGUCACCUGUAGUUCAGUGUCUGCGUCUAAGAGAGUACUUUGUUGCUGCACCCGCCAGAGGGAAGAAAUACUGUAUCUUCUCAUGAAGGAAGGAACCGAAGGU
rnacentral:lncRNA from 1 species